rnacentral:rRNA from 1 species
GACGAACGCUGGCGGCGUGCUUAACACAUGCAAGUCGAACGGAAAGGCCCUGCUAUUGUGGGGUGUUUGAGUGGCGAACGGGUGAGUAACACGUGAGUAACCUGCCCUUGACUCUGGGAUAACUUCAGGAAACCGGGGCUAAUACCGGAUAGGAGCUCCUGCUGCAUGGUGGGGGUUGGAAAGUUUCGGCGGUCGGGGAUGGACUCGCGGCUUAUCAGCUUGUUGGUGGGGUAGUGGCUUACCAAGGCUUUGACGGGUAGCCGGCCUGAGAGGGUGACCGGCCACAUUGGGACUGAGAUACGGCCCAGACUCCUACGGGAGGCAGCAGUGGGGAAUAUUGCACAAUGGGCGGAAGCCUGAUGCAGCAACGCCGCGUGCGGGAUGACGGCCUUCGGGUUGUAAACCGCUUUCGCCUGUGACGAAGCGUGAGUGACGGUAAUGGGUAAAGAAGCACCGGCUAACUACGUG